rnacentral:lncRNA from 1 species
CCUAAUUGAAGUUACUCCCUCAUUCUCACCCGUCCUCACGCCGCUCCCCACUAUCUUCUCUCUGCCUUUUGCUUUUCUCCCACCAACACCACCCUCAAUUCUCCGUCAACCACCACCCGCGCCUCCUAUUCUCUCCGCCAGCACCAGCGCCGCCCUCUUCCUCUCCGUCGAGCACGCUGCCCUCGUCAUUCUCUCCACCUUUUGCACCGGCAGCGCCGCCCUCUUUCUCUCCACCGAAAACCAGCCCCACCGCCCUCGUUCUCUCCGCCGAGCACCAGCCCCGCCGCCCUCGUUCUCUCCGCUGAGCACCAGCCCCGCCGCCCUCGUUCUCUCCACCGAGCUCCAGCCACGCCGCUCUCGUUCUCUCGACGAGCACCAGCCCCGCUGCCCUGUAUUCUGUUUUCAUUUUUUUCUUUUUUAAAUCCGGAAAUUCCAAAAAAUCCGAAAAUGAAGGAUUCCGAAAAAAUCCGGUGGUCGGCGGUGUCGGCUUCUAGGGUUUGACGGCUGUUGUGUUUACGACUAGGGUUGGCGAGAUUGGGUGCUAGGGUUUGGUAGUAUACCGUAGUAGACUAUAGUACACUGUAGUAUACUUUGUAUACUUUGCUUUUAGGGUUUGGAUAAGUAAACUAUAGGAGAUCAUAGUACACU